rnacentral:misc_RNA from 1 species
UUUUCCUUAUUAGUGAAAUUUGAAGUGAUGUAGAUGUACCAUAAUUGUUUAACUUCAAAUAUUAAUGCUAAAGUUCUAUGCUGUCUGAUGUUGUACAUGUGAAAUCUUCAAAUACAUGUUGUAUAUAUGGUGUAUGUGGAGAGACUGACCGGCUUUUAUCUUCCUAUACUAGUAAUAUCAAUUGAAGUGAUAAUGCAAGCUGAUGCUACCAAAGUUUUUAGGUAAAAAUGAAUGAUUGGAUGAAGGAUUUAAAUUUUAAUAUAUCUGACGAUUGUAUGCUAGA